GAGUUUGAUCGUGGCUCAGAUUGAACGCUGGCGGCAUGCCUUACACAUGCAAGUCGAACGGCAGCAUGAUCUAGCUUGCUAGAUUGAUGGCGAGUGGCGAACGGGCGAGUAAUACAUCGGAACGUGCCCUGUAGUGGGGGAUAACUAGUCGAAAGAUUAGCUAAUACCGCAUACGACCUGAGGGUGAAAGUGGGGGACCGCAAGGCCUCAUGCUAUAGGAGCGGCCGAUGUCUGAUUAGCUAGUUGGUGGGGUAAAGGCCCACCAAGGCGACGAUCAGUAGCUGGUCUGAGAGGACGAUCAGCCACACUGGGACUGAGACACGGCCCAGACUCCUACGGAGGCAGCAGUGGGAAUUUGGACAAUGGGCGAAAAGCCUGAUCCAGCAAUGCCGCGUGUGUGAAGAAGGCCUGG
rnacentral:rRNA from 1 species